GAAGCCAGAGAGGCAUUAGAUCUCCUUCAGCUACAGUUAUUGGCAGUUACAGGCUGCCCAACAUGGACGCUGGGAACCAAACUCCGGUCAGCCAUGGGCCAGCUAGCUUGGAGUAUGCUGUCUAACAGCAGAGACAUGCUGGAACUUGCUACGCUCCAUCUGGACGAUGCAUCUCUAGAGAGCCGGGUCACACAUGGGCAGCUUUCACAGCACUGGGGUGAGGAGAAGAGGAAGAGAGGAGAGACACCAUGGAGUAGCUUCCAUCGCACUCCAUCAUGGAAGACGUCUGGGUGGGAAUCUGGAAGCAGGAACUGAGGCAGAGGCCUCUGAAGCAUGCUCCUUCCGGAGAUGGCUGCAGAGCAGAGCCCUGAGUAUCCUCGGCCACAGAGAGCAAGGAAGUGAGGGGAAUAAUGAACAGUGUGAUUCUGACAGGCAACGGAGACCAAAGGGCAAAGCGAAUUGCAACCAAGGCCCUGGCUUCCUGAGCUGCAGAUGGCAGGAUGGGUCCAGCUGAGCAAAGAGAAGCUGGAAAACACUAGCCACCUCCAGCAAAGCAGUAGACUGGAAGUCCCAACUAGAGAUGUCCACAGUCCCACAAGCUUGAAAUCUGCUCUGCGUAGCUGGUUUGAGAGAAGUGACGGCCCUGUUACAGAAAAGGAACUGAGCCCUCCCAAUGCUGCACUCCCCACGCCAGAAACCUAGCUGUUAUCCAUACAACUGCCACGUCUUUGUCACCCUGUCACAGCAGAGGGCCGAUAGAUGAGUCAAGGACACUGUCAGAGCCUCAGGCCUGUGUGAACCUGAGUGGAAGGCUAGCCCCUCAACACCCAGGUUGCAGCAGGACCAGCAACUACCAGAGGCAUAAGCCCAUCCCUACCCACUUCAGAACCACAGGAAUCCAAAUCCUGUCCCUUGGGAACUUCCAGAAGACUCACCUGUGUCCUAAAACUCCAAGGCAUGGCUAUCAGGGUCACAAGACUAGAAAUGAGUUUCUCCACAGCCCAGUCUUGCCACCGAUGCUACACUGUCACUCACACUCACCAUGAGGUUGAGGAAAAGUCACAUCCGUGUUCUGCAUCCUUACUACUAUGGUGCCAACACCACGCACCCUGGUGGCACUAAUGUUUCCUCUGCCCAUGCUCUGAAGCUCUACACCAAGGGAUACCAAAGCCACAAGCCAUCUACACAUGUUCCCCAGAAUGUAGAUAAUGUCUGUCCUCCAAAGCCUGUACCUCCAGGAAUGUAGAUAACCAAGCAACAAGCCCCAAAAUAACUCAUGGGCAGAUCUCUGCAGCUCUUAGCAUCGAGACCACGAUAAGACCACAAACCCCUGCCGUGUCCUGUAAAAAUACAGCCAUGAAAGUUUUUGUCAAAAGUACGUAAGUUACGUAAAGUCACGGAGAUUGCAACAGCAUACCUAAGAGCAACACAGAUUCAAACAGAAUUCCAGAAUGAAGAAGAGAAAAUAAACACAAAGUUCUACCCAUAGCUAAGAAGCAAUUUACAACAGUUGAUACCUUCUGGGAAAAGGAUUAUCAGUCUUCACUAACAGAAAAGGAACCAUGUCCAGGAUAGGCCCAGGGCUCAGGGGUAGCUGGUAC
rnacentral:sRNA from 1 species